rnacentral:misc_RNA from 1 species
GAUGGCAAUAAAAUGACCAUAUGUUUAUUGAUCAUUGUAUAUAAACAGAAAGCCUAAGUAGCAGCCAUGUUCUAUAAAAAGUACAAAAUAAGAAACAUCCAUAUGCAGAAGGCAAAACCUAUCACAAAGCCCUUCAACUUUUGCUAUCACCUCUAAUUGAAAGUGUAUUCUAUUGAAACCCUAAAUUAUUUAAUUUGGUGUUACUGAGUACUAAUUUAACUACAAGUCUACAAAAAAAUAAAAUAUUAGUUAAUUACAAAAAAUUUUUAAGUUUGUAAUACCUAAUCCUGAUGCCGCCAUAGAAAAAAAAAAUGCCAAACAGAAUUCUUCUAUCAUGUAUCCAUGUACUCAUUAUAUAAAAAUUUUAUCACCUGGGAUUAAAGUUCUGUUAUUAUUGACUUGAAUUUUAAUUGUACAGGUAAACAAUUAGUGUUGUUUUCCAUUAACUUAA